UGCAAUGUGGUGUACGGGUUGCAUAUUAUGUUUUGGUCAUAGCGGAGGUUUGUUGCUCAUUGCAU
rnacentral:tRNA from 1 species